CUUAUAGUUGGAUCCUGGCUCAUAUUGAACGCUGGCGGCAGGCUUAACACAUGCAAGUCGAGCGGGGAAAGGUAGCUUGCUACCUGACCUAGCGGCGGACGGGUGAGUAAUGCUUAGGAAUCUGCCUAUUAGUGGGGGACAACAUUCCGAAAGGAAUGCUAAUACCGCAUACGCCCUACGGGGGAAAGCAGGGGAUCUUCGGACCUUGCGCUAAUAGAUGAGCCUAAGUCAGAUUAGCUAGUUGGUGGGGUAAAGGCCUACCAAGGCGACGAUCUGUAGCGGGUCUGAGAGGAUGAUCCGCCACACUGGGACUGAGACACGGCCCAGACUCCUACGGGAGGCAGCAGUGGGGAAUAUUGGACAAUGGGCGAAAGCCUGAUCCAGCCACGCCGCGUGUGUGAAGAAGGCCUUUUGGUUGUAAAGCACUUUAAGCGAGGAGGAGGCUACCGAGAUUAAUACUCUUGGAUAGUGGACGUUACUCGCAGAAUAAGCACCGGCUAACUCUGUGCCAGCAGCCGCGGUAAUACAGAGGGUGCGAGCGUUAAUCGGAUUUACUGGGCGUAAAGCGUGCGUAGGCGGCUUUUUAAGUCGGAUGUGAAAUCCCUGAGCUUAACUUAGGAAUUGCAUUCGAUACUGGGAAGCUAGAGUAUGGGAGAGGAUGGUAGAAUUCCAGGUGUAGCGGUGAAAUGCGUAGAGAUCUGGAGGAAUACCGAUGGCGAAGGCAGCCAUCUGGCCUAAUACUGACGCUGAGGUACGAAAGCAUGGGGAGCAAACAGGAUUAGAUACCCUGGUAGUCCAUGCCGUAAACGAUGUCUACUAGCCGUUGGGGCCUUUGAGGCUUUAGUGGCGCAGCUAACGCGAUAAGUAGACCGCCUGGGGAGCCCGGUCG
rnacentral:rRNA from 1 species